UACGGAGGGAGCUAGCGUUGUUCGGAAUGACUGGGCGUAAAGCGUACGUAGGCGGGUAUUCAAGUCAGAGGUGAAAGCCCGGGGCUCAACCCCGGAACGGCCUUUGAAACUAGGUAGCUAGAGUCUUGGAGAGGUUAGUGGAAUUCCGAGUGUAGAGGUGAAAUUCGUAGAUAUUCGGAAGAACACCAGUGGCGAAGGCGACUAACUGGACAAGUACUGACGCUGAGGUACGAAAGCGUGGGGAGCAAACAGG
rnacentral:rRNA from 1 species